GUUUUGAGGGGAAUAAUGGAGAAAAAAGCUUUUAGAAACAUUAAUAAAAGGUUAGAAUCUUGUAGCUCUCAUUGUGUAGAGGCAGUGAAUGACUGACACUACUUGAAGGGGGCUUGGAUCUGUCUACUUUUUAUACAUGGUAUCAUCUCUGUUUUGUCUCAGUUUUUGUGACAUGCUUAAUAGUAUUAAAUGAAGUCUCAGUAGUUGUAGAAUUUUCAGAUUCUAAAAGAUACAAUGUAAUUUUUCAGUGACAUAGUCAUAGGUUAACAUCCCUUUGAAGACACCCUCAAGUAUAAUUACAGCUCACUCUGUAAUAAAAGACACAAAAUGCAAAAUCUCAGUCUUGCUCUAAAUCUCUUCAUGUGUUUUCCUAUGUAAUAAUAUUUAGGUAGUUUCACAGAUAAAGAAGUAUCAGAUGGGAUGGUCCAGUUGGCAGAGCACUAACCAGUGAGGAAAAGUGUUAGGUAGUACUAGGUUCAAGUCUGGAUUUCACACCUAAAAGGAAAAA